rnacentral:tRNA from 1 species
GCCCAGGUGGCGGAAUGGCAGACGCAGCGGACUUAAAAUCCGCUUGCCGCAAGGCAGUGGGGGUUCGAGUCCCUUCCUGGGCA